GGGGGGAGGGAACGGGGGGGCUGGAGCUGCUGGCCGAGGGGAGCGGGGAAGGAGCGCACGGACACCCCCAGACCGACGGACGCCCCCCGGGCCGCCGCCGCCGGCUCCCGGCCGCUGCCCCGCCGGCAGCGAGGGGCCGCCGCCGAGUUUGCCCGGCGCCCCCGGCCCGCCCCGGGGCGAGGGGGGGCCGCUGUUUAACAGGGCGCACAGGAGGCUCAGACAUGAUGGGAAGAUUAAUUUAUCCAAUUGAAACAGCAGGGGGAAUUCAGGGCAAACUGACUUUGAAACACCUGUAACAGAAUGACAAAAUCCAGGUCCAGCGGGCAGGCUCAAGCCAAACUUUGUUUAAAACAGCGGCAGCGACACUCAGUGCCGUGACACAGAAGGACCCUUGCAGAGAAGCGGCAGCUGCGCUAACUCCGCCGGAGGGAAGGGGAAAGCCCUCGCCCUGCAGGAAGGGGCUGUCACGUCCGGGCUGAGCCACGAUCCCAACGCCAGGUAAGAGGCCUGCAUGAGCCUGAAAAUGCCGCUUCUUCCCAUAGCCACCACAGACAGCCCCAUUUGUCACAGCAAUUAAUGUGCUCCCGGCAAGACCGCCACGCUCCAGCCCUGCCGCCGUCAGAUGUCUCUUCUCAGACCUGGAAGACCAGCAAGUGGAGGCAGGUCCCGUCAAAAUGUUGCUUUACUGUUUCUGCUGAUAUCUCACCUGUGCCACAUGCCUACAAGACACCUGAGAAAGUUUCAGCAGCCCAUACUCUUUGGUGGUGGCUUUUCAUAUCUUUUCAUAGUUUUCUUCAUAUUUUGUGCUCAACCCAGCUGUUGCUGGGAUGGGCUGGUUGCUACCUUUCAGUCACUUCACUUCAACCCCUUUGGGAUGGGAAUCACCUUCCACCUGGAAAGAUCAUCUUGCAUCAAGCAGAAAGUAGCCACUGGUGUUUUCCUGGCUAGGACUAGGCAACCUUGGCUGCUAUAAUGCAGCAUUCCCGCUGACAUGUUUAUGGAGGGUGCUCAGCUUUUCCUAGCAGACCUUGCUCCACACUAAGAGGCGAGAAAGCUUCUACAGAUAAAGGCACCUGGAUGUUAUCAUUCAGAGGUAGAUUAAAAACCUUGCCUUUUUCAUAGCUCAGACUGUUAUUGGAAGUUAUUACAAAAUAUAGGGAGAAAUACAGAAAAUCUAAAGGAAAUACAUUACAAAUUAGAUUACAGGAAAGGUAAUAAAUAGGACGUACCUGACAAAAAUGCAAUCUGAUAAUGCUAUCUUAUUACAUUGAGGAACAACUCCCUCUACUGAGGGAAAGCGUUAGUGACGGGGGCUCAGCCGCUGUGAUAAAUAGCCAGCUGUGCAGGGCGAGAUAACUAGCAAAGGCCUUAUUCCUCCCCGCCUUGCACCAGCUGGCACCGCUACACCGGCAAGAGUUGGGUGCCAUCGUACCCCAGUGAGAAUAUACAAAUCCCAGUUUGCUAGAGCUUUAUAGCUCCUUUGUGCAAACGCCCCGUGAUGAGACAGGAGAUUAGAGGAGCUCUAGCAAUGCAUUUGAUUUCAAAGAAGGUAUAUUCCUCCUGACCGCUGCCACCCAAGGCAGAGUGUGUGUGUAUGCGCGCUGGGACAGAUAAAAUAUUGAGCAACUGAUAGUAAUAGCUGCAUAAACAAGAAUGAGGCAAGAGUACAAAUCUUUAGGUUAGGAAUUAUUUAAAGUUGUAGACUUUCAGAUACUCUUACAUAAAGAUUCUGCUGCGGCUCCAUUAAAAAAAUAGCAAUAAAGAGUGAUCUGUUGUAUUAUUGA